CCAAUAGCGUAUAUUAAAGUUGUUGCAGUUAAAAAGCUCGUAGUUGAACUUCGGGGUUUACCCAUUGGUCAGGCUUAAUUGUCUGUACUGGUGAGAUAAAUCUCUACCUUCUGAGGAACUUUCAUGCCAUUUAUUUGGUGUGAUUGGAAAUCAGGACUGUUACUUUGAAAAAAUUAGAGUGUUUAAAGCAGGCUAACGUCUGAAUACAUUAGCAUGGAAUAAUGAAAUAGGACGGAUUGAUUCUAUUUCGUUGGUUUCUAGGAUCACCGUAAUGAUUAAUAGGGAUAGUUGGGGGCAUUAGUAUUCAAUUGUCAGAGGUGAAAUUCUUGGAUUUAUUGAAGACUAACUACUGCGAAAGCAUUUGCCAAGGAUGUUUUCAUUAAUCAAGAACGAAAGUUAGGGGAGCGAAGACGAUCAGAUACCGUCGUAGUCUUAACCAUAAACUAUGCCGACUAGGGAUCGGACGAAGUUAAUUUUAUAAUGACGCGUUCGGCACCUUACG
rnacentral:rRNA from 1 species